GGGGGUAAGUACCACCCCCCCUUAAAGAGACACCCCCCCAAGUGCCGGACCACGCUUCUACCGAACCAUGCACACCACUAGAGGCCAGAGGCAGCGGCGGGCCUGGCCCAGCAGUGGAGGCAAGGUCUAGGAGGGAGAAAAGAAGGUGUGGGGGCAGAAAGUGGUGGUGGGAAGGAGAGGCAGCUGGUCCCGGAAGCAGAGACUGGGGCAGAAGGUGGGGGGGAAGAGGUAACCGCUAGCCCCAAAGAGCACACAGAUGCUUUGUGCGGGGUCGGCUAGUGUAAUUAAUUCUCCCAAGACGUGCUGCUGCGGAUGCAACGUGCCACUGGGGAUGUGUAGGGAUGGGUUGCGGAACUCUCGUGAGUGGCCGCACCACUCUCCAGCGCUCCAGGCUUUUGGCGGGCUGGUGGAGCCCAGGUGCAGAGGAGGCGGCCAGCCGGCAUGGGAAGCCCAGCCUUUGUGAGGAGGCGGAUGGCCUGAGGGGGAGUGCUUGUCCGGAGGGCGAAGCCCCACCGGUGUGAGGAUGCCCAGCCGGCUGGCGAAGCUCCACUGGCCUGAGGAGGCGGCCGGUAGGGCAAAGUGGUGGAGAACUAGGGUUAGUUUCUAGGGUUAGUUUCUACAUCUAGUUUCUAGUAAUAUAUAACAUAUGAAAAUAUGUCAGUUUUAAUGCUACACUUGAUCUUAGCCAAAAGGCUGAGAAAUGAUUUUUAAUGCUAUGAAUAUUUAGAUACUGCUUUUCAACAAAAGUUCCCAAAGCGGUUUACAUAGAGGUAGAUAAAUAAAAUGGCUCCCUGUCCCCAAAGAGCUCACAAUCUAAAGAAGAAACAGAAUGUGUAGACCAGCUAGACACCAAUCACAAGUCACUGGAGGGAUGCUGUGCUGGGGAUGGAUAGAGCCAAUUGCUCUUCCCCUGCUAAAUAAAGAGAAUCACCACUUUUAAAAGGUGCCUCUGCUCAGCCGGGAAUUUAUUAUAAAACAUAUAGUAGGAAUUGAUUAUCUAACAUAUAGUAGAUUUCAGUCCUUGCUUAUCAAUGAGGUCAGUAUAUGCCACCACACAUAGCUCACAGAACCACAUGUUAGUUUAUCUAAUGAACUGCAUGGAAAUACUGCACUUGGUUUUUGCUUACUUAAUGAAUGCUGUUGUAUACACAUUGCUGUAUGUGCAAGCUGAGUCUUUAUCUUUAGAAAGCAUCAGAUAGCAUUAGACUCAUUGUCAACAACAGGCCUAGUUUCCAUUGAUGUUCAGUAAAAAGUUUAGUCAGCCAAGUUAAGAAGAAAUAGUGGCUGUCAGCACUAUAAUAUAUUCAGAAAAUGGCAACCUCUUUUGUUGAUCCACUCUGACUCUCUGUACUUGAGCAUUACUCGGCUGACUGGGGAAUUAAUCUUCCAGUUUGGUGUUCCCAUUUGCAAAAACAUAAUGUCUGACCUUAAAAAACAAACAAACAAACAAACAAACCCCAAACCCAAGUGUUUUGCAAUAACACUAGGGAUGUGCUCGGAACCGGUCCAUGCACAUCCCUAAAUAACAACUCAAACAGCUUCUAUUUGAAAUGAAGACAUUGGCUACAGCUCUGCACAGAGAUCGGCACACCUAAGACCACUGAAAUCAAGAAAAGAAAUAACACAAGGAACACCAAGAUGUUCACACAAGGAACACCAAGAUGGAAACCCAAGUCGUGCACCCAUUAAAGUCGUCUAAAGUCGUGCACCCAUUAAAUAAAUCAGGAUAAUCUUCAAGCCCAGUAAUGAAAGUCAAGGAGCACAGUGAAAAACAUGGGACUACAACUAAAUGUAAAGAAGACUAAACUAAUGACAACGGGUACACCAACUAGUAACGUGCACGGACCGAUUCGCAGGCCAUUCUAAAGGCCUGCGAACAGGUUUGCGGGGUGGUGGUGGUUGUGGUUUUGGUUCACAGCUGGGGGUGGCCCUUUAAGGGCGGGGGAGGGUGCACUUACCCCUCCCGCUGCUUUUCACCUGCUGGCACUCCUUUUUUGAAAACAAUUUGGGGCGGCAACAAAACCCCGUUUUCUCAACAAAAGGCUUCAGAACGUGUGACUGCCCAUGCAAAUGGCGCGUGCGCAUGUCACGUGUGUGCAUUGCAUGUGUCCGUACAUCAGACGUGCACGCCGUACACCUGUGAUGCGUGCGUGCUAUGUGCACGCACAAUCACAUGUUCUGAAGCAUUUUGCUGAGAAACGGGAAGGGGUGGCAGGGAGGUAUGCUGCCGCCCCAAAUGCUUUUCAAAAAAAGA